rnacentral:misc_RNA from 1 species
GGCAAGGAGGUAAAAAUGACCAAAAAA